AACUGUACCUUGUUCAGACUGCAGGUUCAUCUUUAAGUUUCUGCAGCAGGAACUGAACUGAGGAAUGUGCUGCAACAAGCCUAAUUCCCAAAGGAAAACCAAAGGACCCAAAGGAUACGCUGCCAAAGUCCUGUGUUGUGCCAGAACGCCCCCAGAGGAACUGUGUCCACACCCUGACAGGUAAGAGUUACCAUUUAAAGCCUACAAAACACUAAGGCAGUUGGUUAAAUUGUUGUGUAGUGUUAUUACUUUGUGUACUUACAAUAAAUCUUUUUAAUAGUUUUAUAGCUUUUAGCAAUAUUAUUAUUACCUUAAUCAAAAACAUCUAGCUCAGGUUGCAAAUAUAGAUUUUGUUUGUUUAAAUGUAUACUAACUUUUUGACAGCACGAGUUCUCUCCAUGCAUCUCCAUAUCUGCUUUCAGUUAAAAUAAUUCACCAAAAAACCACACACUUGCAUCACUAGCACCCCAUGAGAAAGUUGGUCAUACAAGCCUUUUUUAUCGCUUCCGGAUAUUCUUUUAAAUUCUGGCUACCUCGAGCAUCCUCCACUGGCUUUACCACUU